rnacentral:lncRNA from 8 species
AGCUUGUAGUAAUCAUCGUCACUGCAGACCCUGAUAAUGAGUUCAUAUUUUUGUGGCCCCCAUCAAAGUUGCCCAUCCCUGAAAGCUGCAUCAGUUUAGUUACAACUGGGAUUGGAGAUAGAACCUACAGGAAGGUAGCUCUCCAGGAACAGGGUUGGAGACAACCUACAGGAGGGUAGCUCUCCAGGAACAGGGUUGGAAAGCCCUGCUAUAGAAGGUGAAGGAAGAAUUACUCAAUAGAUCCGCAUGGCAUUUCUAAAUACCAGUAAUGUCUAUUGGCAAGCAACAACUUUCAGCAAAGACCCUGCCUUUUGAGCCCUGCCCAGGCAAGACAUAACAUAUUCAAGCCAGAAGGGCAACUGGUGUAUUUUUGACUGUGGUGUAAUGUACCGUAGAUGAUUCCAGUUGUACCUGUGGGUAUCUGACUGAACCUUUGGUACAUGUUUUAUCACAGAGACAUCAGAAAGCCUGAUGACGGUGAGACUGUUGAGGCUGUGGUUGUUCCCAGGUUAGUUAAAAUACCUCUAUUACAUCUUUAUACUCUACUCUGUCCUGGAUCAGUUUGCCUUGCUUAUCCUUACAGUCAUGGUCAUCAUGAUCUCACUUUUAGUGACCAAGGAGGUGAGCCAGGAGAGGAGAACAGGCAGCCCAUGGACAAUGAAGAGACAGGCGCUGACACCCCUCUGCUGAAUGGAGAUGCCAGCGACCAAGGAGAGGAAGGCGUUCUAGGAAUGGAGGAUGGAAAACCGUCAGACAAUGACAGAGCAGACACUGAAACCUGUCAGAAGACACAUGCUGAUCCCCCUCCACUGAAUGUACCCAAAGUUGUCAGGGUUAACAGCCAGACUGAUGACCCACAGCUUCUGGGUCAACCUCAGAGCAAUGGACGCGUGCCCUAUAGAAGGGAAUCACAGCUGACUGAUGGGGCUCCAGGUCAGGGUGCUGGUGAGACUUCACCCCUCCUCUGCAGAAGCCCAGGAGAGGAAGGCGUGCUAGAAGGGCAGGACAGGAAGUCAGCAGACAGUGGGGGAACAGACCCUGAAUCCUGUCAGAAGACACAUGCUGAACCCCCUCUAGCGAAUGGACACCAUGAUGUCAGGGUUAACGAUGAGACUAAGGAAGUGACUCCUGGUGCACAGAGUCCAGGACCUCCUCAGAUGAAUGGAGGACCUCCCAUGUCUAACAGAGCUGCAGAGGAGACCACUGCUCUAUUGGACAAACAGGCCUUGGACAAGGACCAAGUCACCAAACCUCCUGAGUUAAUAGACAAAGGACCUAAUGACAUGGAGUCAAGAGGAGAACUGUAA